AAGCGGAAGCUGCAGCCCGGCUGCACCGUGGUCUGCGGAGCUGCUGCUUCCCGGGUCUGGGUCGGCUGAGUCACGGCCCGGCCCGGCCCGGCCUAGCGAGGGCGCGUGCCCGCCGCCCCGAAGCAGCUGCCACCCGGACCUUGGGACCUCUGCACUUGACUUUUCCGGCCGGGCACAAAACCUUCGGCCGUUGCCGUAGCGACUGGCAGUCUAGCGAAUACCCCCUUCACUUUUUAUCGUCCUCCUUUCUCAGUUCAUUGUUUGGUUAUUUUAGGGUCAGUCCGAUGACCCUAUAGGUCGGGCUUGGAGGGCGCCGGCUCUCUGGCGGCAGACUGCCCUCGUCUGGGCGCUGGGCAGCCGGCGGCCUCCGCGGUCUCCAUGGUAACGGCCCGGCCGGCGUCUCUGCCUCGGGGGGAAGAUGCGGCCUGCCGGGUCCGCCGCCUCGCCCCCGGCCUCACGGGAGGGCCGGGGCCACUGAGAAGGCAGGUCCCGGCCGCCGGACGGCGGGGCGUUGGUCGCCAGUGAAAUCUCGUUCUCUGGCUGGAGACACAGAUGGCCUCAAAUGAGAGAGAUGCUAUAUCGUGGUACCAAAAGAAGAUUGGAGCAUAUGAUCAGCAGAUAUGGGAAAAGUCAAUCGAACAGACACAGAUUAAGGUA